AGCGAACGCUGGCGGCAGGCUUAACACAUGCAAGUCGAGCGGAUGUAGCAAUACAUCAGCGGCAGACGGGAGAGUAACACGUGGGAACGUACCCUUCAGUUCGGAACAACCCAGGGAAACUUGGGCUAAUACCGGAUACGUCCGUAAGGAGAAAGAUUUAUCGCUGAAGGAUCGGCCCGCGUCUGAUUAGCUAGUUGGUGAGGUAACGGCUCACCAAGGCGACGAUCAGUAGCUGGUCUGAGAGGAUGAUCAGCCUCACUGGGACUGAGACACGG
rnacentral:rRNA from 1 species